CGGACGGGUGAGUAACGCGUAGGAAUCUACCUAAUAGUGGGGGACAACCUGGUGAAAACCAGGCUAAUACCGCAUACGCCCUACGGGGGAAAGCAGGGGAUCUUCGGACCUUGCGCUAUUAGAUGAGCCUGCGUUAGAUUAGCUAGUUGGUGGGGUAAAGGCUCACCAAGGCGACGAUCUAUAGCUGGUCUGAGAGGAUGAUCAGCCACACUGGGACUGAGACACGGCCCAG
rnacentral:rRNA from 1 species